GCGCGUUUAGCUCAGUGGUAGAGCACGUCACUGAUAAUGACGAGGCCGUAGGUCCGAUCCCUACAACGCGCACCA
rnacentral:tRNA from 2 species